rnacentral:lncRNA from 1 species
GCGUGUGGUGCUGUUGACGCCGUGGGCGGAGCUGCGGGGGCAGAAGGGGGAGGCGGGGAUGCGGGAAGCCGUUGGAGAGGCCCAGAGCGCGCCACGUCGCCGAGAGUGAAGGUCGGUGUUUUUUGAGUCUCACCGGACCGGACCGGCAAAACCUCUCUGGGACGAGCGCUUCACCUCGGCGUGCGAUUGGACACGAGGCGGGAUGCCC